rnacentral:misc_RNA from 1 species
UUUCCGUAGGUGAACCUGCGGAAGGAUCAUUCAUAAUAAGUGUUUUAUAGCACUUUUUUAAAUCCAUAUCCACCUUGUGUGCAAUGUCAGGGUUGAUUUUUCUCUCGACAGUAUCAGCCCCAAACAUCAACUAUAUCUAAACUCUUUGUCUGAAAAAUUUUAUGAAAAAAACAAUUCAAAAUACAACUUUCAACAACGGAUCUCUUGGCUCUC